rnacentral:misc_RNA from 1 species
GAUGAAGAACGCAGCGAAAUGCGAUAAGUAAUGUGAAUUGCAGAAUUCAGUGAAUCAUCGAAUCUUUGAACGCACCUUGCGCUCCUUGGUAUUCCGAGGAGCAUGCCUGUUUGAGUGUCAUGAAAUUCUCAACCUUUUCAGCUUUCUUUGUUGAUCAGGCUUGGAUGUGGGAGUAUGCGGGCUUCUCAGAAGUCGGCUCUCCUGAAAUGCAUUAGCGGGACCUUUGUUGCCUGGCUUUGGUGUGAUAAUUAUCUACGCCAUUGUAGUCAAGCAGCUUAAAAUGAGGUUUCAGCUUCUAACCGUCUCCCCUGAGACAACUUUUUGACGAUUUGACCUCAAAUCAGGUAGGACUACCCGCUGAACUUAAGCAUAUCAAUAAGCGGAGGA